GACGAACGCUGGCGGCGUGCUUAACACAUGCGAGUCGAACGGCAAGGCCCUGCUAUCGUGGGGUGAUCGAGUGGCGAACGGGUGAGUAACACGUGAGUAACCUGACCUUGACUUUGGGAUAACUUAAGGAAACUGGGGCUAAUACCGGAUAGGAGCUCAUGCUGCAUGGUGGGGGUUGGAAAGUUUCGGCGGUUGGGGAUGGACUCGCGGCUUAUCAGCUUGUUGGUGGGGUAGUGGCUUACCCAGGCAUUGACGGGUAGCCGGCCUGAGAGGGUGACCGGCCUCAUUAGGACUGAGAGACGGCCCAGACUCCAACGGGGGGCAGCAGGGGGGAGUAUGGCACAGUGAGCGGAAGCCUGUGGCAGCGACGCCGCGUUCGUGAUGACGGCCUGCGGGUUGUGAACCGCUUUCGCCUGUGACGAAGCGUGAGUGACGGUAAUGGGUAAAGAAGCACCGGCUAACUACGUG
rnacentral:rRNA from 1 species